GUGCAAAAACAACAUGUUUUUCUCCUUGUUGGCCAAAACUUACCUUGCCAUUUUUUGCUUGGAAUUUGCUUCCUUCUUUUGGUUGGAAGAGAGCUUGGUUCUGCCCCCCUUUGGCAGGGGUUUUACGAAACCUUGUGGUGGUUUUUUAGCGUUGUCUAGCUGUGUCAGAGGUAAAACUGCAUUUGUCUUGAGCAUCUUUACAACUUCUUUGUGCAACUGUGUGUCGG
rnacentral:lncRNA from 1 species